AUUUGAAGAUCAUCUGUAAUCUCACUAUCUUUCUGCCUCUUGCAGUAAAACGCAGACAGGUGUUAAAAAAUAAAUGACUGAGAGAGUCAUCUGAUCAGCCUAUACCAGAGAAAAAUACGGAGGAGGAAUUACACCGUGAUCUUGAGGAAAUAAUGGCUGAUUUGGAGGAGAUGCACCUCCGAACAUGUUUAGGGGCGAGAUAUUUGCAUACCCUCUGUUUCUGAAGAAGGAACUGGCCACAAAAACAAACUGCAAGUUCUUCUGCACUGACAUCAUGUGUCAAUAUUGGUCCUAUCUGCAAGAGGUGGCUCAAGCAUUCCCAGAAAUGGAAAACUUGACUCAGAUGAAGCCAUUUCUCUCAGUUAUGAAUGCAAAGGGGCACGCUACAAAUUGUGAGAUCAUAGCCUGAUUUGGGCCACAUAUCACCUGACUGAUCUGGGCCACACUCCUCCCACCAACAAUCGGCCCUCAUAUUGUUUGCCGGAUCCCCGCCCUCCCGUCAUUGCCACACAUGGCCCAGCUCUGGCUGAAAGGGUACAUGCCAUUGCCGACAGGAGGCCAGCAGUGCCAGCUUGAGGCCACAUUUGGGCCAAGUCCAUUUGCUAUGUGGGGGAUGGAAUGAGCGAAAAAAAAAAGAAACCUGCACAAGUACUUAUCUACACGGUACAAGAUUUCAUCAAUGAAG
ensembl:lncRNA